AGUGAACGCUGGCGGUAGGCCUAACACAUGCAAGUCGAACGGCAGCACAGUAAGAGCUUGCUCUUACGGGUGGCGAGUGGCGGACGGGUGAGGAAUACAUCGGAAUCUACUUUUUCGUGGGGGAUAACGUAGGGAAACUUACGCUAAUACCGCAUACGACCUACGGGUGAAAGCAGGGGAUCUUCGGACCUUGCGCGAUUGAAUGAGCCGAUGUCGGAUUAGCUAGUUGGCGGGGUAAAGGCCCACCAAGGCGACGAUCCGUAGCUAGUCUGAGAGGAUGAUCAGCCACACUGGAACUGAGACACGGUCCAGACUCCUACGGGAGGCAGCAGUGGGGAAUAUUGGACAAUGGGCGCAAGCCUGAUCCAGCCAUACCGCGUGAGUGAAGAAGGCCUUCGGGUUGUAAAGCCCUUUUGUUGGGAAAGAAAAGCAGCAGGUUAAUACCCCGCUGUUCUGACGGUACCCAAAGAAUAAGCACCGGCUAACUUCGUG
rnacentral:rRNA from 1 species